UAGACCUAAUAACAGAAGCGACGCCCCCCUCUACUGUCCUUCUUUUUCGCUUGAAACUCGCCUCAACUCGCCUGAGUGUUGAAUGAGUUCACUCAUUGGUCCCCCCUCCAUGUCACCUUAUCCUCAACGGAUUUGUCAGAGGAGUACGAAUUUUCUCUCCAGAAUUGCACGAUUCUCGUACAGAAGGACAAUUGGUGGACGAAUGGGAGCCGUGGAUAGAUGUAAAUCGAUUCACGCCCUCCAUUUUUCCCAAAAUUGUUCAAAAAUUUGAAGAUUUUCGGAUAUUUUGAGCAGAAGAUUCGAGAAUUUUCGAGGGUUAUAUAUAGGAGGUAAGUUUUCUUUUUCAAGGUUUUGAGGAAAAUAGAGAGAAAAAUAUAAAGAGAAAAUCGGGAAAAAUCUUCAGAGCCUAGUCGAAAUUUCUAGGGUUUUAGCGACCGUUCUGCUUCAAGUUUUUUUUUUGAGUCUAUUUCUCUGUUUUCAAAAGAAGAUAAAAAAGAUGGCUUGAGUUUUUGGCCCGCAUUUGAGUUCAUAUUACCAAAAAAAAAAUCCAGAAGCAAAACUUUCUAGCCUUAUUUCGUUUUUCUUGAUUUCUUGGUUCUAAAAGAAGGUUUUGGAUCGAAUUUCGAGUUUAAGUUUGUGGUUGGGUUCCGAAAUUUUGUUAUUUUGGAUUUUCUGUCCAAUUUUUGGUCGAGAUUCGGAUUUGCUCGGUUGGUCUGUGGAGUUGCUGUUUUUGUUGCUGAAUCUCUCCUCCCAUUUCAGAGCUUUCUUUUGAUAUUUUUCAGUUAUUUUGCCAAUAGGGAAUGUCGUUUUCUUAUGAAUGGAUGAGAUGCUUGAGGAUUACUCUGUUUUCUGGAAGCCUUCAAAUGGAGUGAAUGUAGGCCAAUUGAAUGGCACUUGCUGAAACUCCAAGUUUGAAAAGAUAGAAUUUAUUUGUACAAUUUUACUUUUAAAGUUGGGGUCUAUGCAAUUCAUUAUGGUAUUCCGAAAGAUUUGUACAUAAUGUUAUGUUAACAUAAUUCAUGAUAUUACUGAUUAAGAGACAAUUUUAUAGACAUUUGGUUGAACCUUUACUUGUUUGAAUAUUGGUCAAGCCAUGGACAAUAAUUUACCUUUUGUCUCUUCCGUAUGAAUUCAUGGACUCUUGCUUUAGGCAUU